rnacentral:rRNA from 1 species
GAUGAACGCUGGCGGCGUGCCUAAUACAUGCCAGUCGAGCGAACAGACGAGGCGCUUUCUCCUCGUACGGUAGCGGCGGACAAGAGGGUAACACGUGGAUACCGUACCUAUAAGACUCGGAGAACUUGGUGAAACCUGAGCUAAUACCGCAGAAUAUACUGAACCUGAUGGUGCAAUGGUGUAAGACGGUUUUUCUGUCACUUGUAUAUGAAUCCGCGCCGCAUGAGCUAGUUGGUAAGGUAACGGCCUAGCAAGGCAACGGUGCGUAGACGACGUGAGAGAGUGGUAGCCCACACUAGAACUGAGCCAGCGUCCAGACUACUACGGGAGGCAGCAGUCGGGAACCUUACGCAGUGGGCGAAAGCUUGACGCAGCAACGCCGAGUGAGUGAUGAAGGUGUUCGGAUCGUAAAGCUGUGUUAUUAGGGAUGAACAACUGUGUGAGUAAAUGUGCAGGUCUUGACGGUACCUAAACAGAAAGCAACGGCUAACUACGUG